UGAUGACGAUGAUGAUGAUGAUGAUGAUGACGACGAUGAUGAUGAUGAAUGACGCCAGCAGUCGUAUCUUUUUCAUCACCACCACAACCACCACCAAAGACAUCAUCAUCGUCAUCAUCAUCAUCAACAUCAACU
rnacentral:pre_miRNA from 1 species